CCUACGGGAGGCAGCAGUGAGGAAUAUUGGUCAAUGGACGGAAGUCUGAACCAGCCAAGCCGCGUGCAGGAAGACGGCUCUAUGAGUUGUAAACUGCUUUUGUACAAGGGUAAACCUGAACACGUGUGUUCAUCUGCAUGUACUUUACGAAUAAGGAUCGGCUAACUCCGUGCCAGCAGCCGCGGUAAUACGGAGGAUCCAAGCGUUAUCCGGAUUUAUUGGGUUUAAAGGGUGCGUAGGCGGAUUGUUAAGUUAGCGGUGAAAUGUCCGGGCUUAACCCGAGAAUUGCCGCUAAUACUGGUGGUCUGGAGAGUGGGUGAGGUAGGCGGAAUGUGUGGUGUAGCGGUGAAAUGCUUAGAUA
rnacentral:rRNA from 1 species